ACGUUCCCCCUCUUUGUGACGUCCUGCUAUUUGCCUCAAAUAUUUCAUUUACAUCAUUUCCGUUGCUCAUAUUGGUAAAUUUCUUUGAUUUGUCUUCUUUGUGAGCUGCUUCAAUAAUACUGUCGUGUAUCGUGGAUAUUUUUUACAUGUAGAAAACACUUUGUAUUUUCUCCGAACUUUCUUGAUGCUAGCAUGAGUGGUGAAAGUUGAUAUGUGGUGAUAUCAAGCGAUCAUAAGUUCAGUGGAGAUUAUGUUGAACUUGGCAAGUGUAGAUAUUACAAAGCAAGCAAUUAUUGAUCGCUUGUUGGAUGGAGUAAAGCAAACUAGUUUUAAAAUAUUUUGUCAGGUACGAUUUGGUAGUACAACCGAAUUGGCUUCUGAGAAGGAUAGCAGAAUCUCUUGUCUUUGUGAGCAAUGGAACAUUGUUCUUCAAUUUGGCAUUAAUUCCACAAAAGGAUAAAUUCUUUAAGGCAGGUGUUAAUGAGAUCUGAAGGUCAAUCUGUGUUCUGGCUAUUUAUCAAGGAACAUCUUAGCUCUAGUGAAAUAAAGACAUAUAAUUCUUUACAUAAUGUAAUGACAGAUGUUGGUAGAG